rnacentral:rRNA from 1 species
GAUCAACGCUGGCGGCAUGCCUUACACAUGCAAGUCGAACGGUAACAGGUUAAGCUGACGAGUGGCGAACGGGUGAGUAAUAUAUCGGAACGUGCCCAGUAAUGGGGGAUAGCCCGGCGAAAGCCGGAUUAAUACCGCAUACGACCUACGGGUGAAAGCAGGGGAUCGCAAGACCUUGCGUUAUUGGAGCGGCCGAUAUCAGAUUAGCUUGUUGGUGGGGUAAAAGCCCACCAAGGCGACGAUCUGUAGCUGGUCUGAGAGGACGACCAGCCACACUGGGACUGAGACACGGCCCAGACUCCUACGGGAGGCAGCAGUGGGGAAUUUUGGACAAUGGACGCAAGUCUGAUCCAGCCAUGCCGCGUGCGGGAAGAAGGCCUGGUGUAACG